rnacentral:lncRNA from 1 species
GAGACAGCGAUGGGAUCCCAUGUGCACUGCUGAAAGAAUCAGUCAAAUCUUCCACCUCUGAUUUAAUGAUCUUCAGCUUUUUCUUCUUUUUGUCAUCCUUUUCCUUCACCUUUUUCUUGAAGGUUGCAAGGUCAAAUAAAGCUGCUAAGGAACCUUUCCUGCCAGCAUUUACACGAGUCAUAACGUCCUCAAGAGUAAUGUCUGCUGUCACUAAAUCUGGGUGGUCAGGUUGAUACUUUCGUUUCUCACGGUGUUUCCUCAACAUCAUCUUCAAAUCACUCUCACCAAGUUCUAUUCUGUCUGCUGUUUUCAUGUCCAUCGUUGACAAUGUGGGUAUCACUCUCAGGGGAAUUGGUGGACUCGGACAACGUGAGGGAGAGCUCGGAGGCCAGGAGCUUAGAUCUUCUUCAUCAGAAGACAAAGUAGUAUCUCCACACUCCUCUUUCACUUCCCUGAGAAUCUUCAAGUAGCGCCGAUGUGUCCGUUUCUCCCGCUCUUCUGCAUCAUACGAAGGUG